GACGAACGCUGGCGGCGUGCCUAAUACAUGCAAGUAGAACGCUGAAGAGAGGAGCUUGCUCUUCUUGGAUGAGUUGCGAACGGGCGAGUAACGCGUAGGUAACCUGCCUUGUAGCGGGGGAUAACUAUUGGAAACGAUAGCUAAUACCGCAUAACAAUGGAUGACACAUGUCAUUUAUUUGAAAGGGGCAAUUGCUCCACUACAAGAUGGACCUGCGUUGUAUUAGCUAGUAGGUGAGGUAAUGGCUCACCUAGGCGACGAUACAUAGCCGACCUGAGAGGGUGAUCGGCCACACUGGGACUGAGACACGGCCCAGACUCCUACGGGAGGCAGCAGUAGGGAAUCUUCGGCAAUGGGGGCAACCCUGACCGAGCAACGCCGCGUGAGUGAAGAAGGUUUUCGGAUCGUAAAGUUCUGUUGUAAGUCAAGAACGGGUGUGAGAGUGGAAAGUUCACACUGUGACGGUAGCUUACCAGAAAGGGACGGCUAACUACGUG
rnacentral:rRNA from 1 species